CAGUAUUUAGUUUAAUUUAAAAUAUAAUAUUUGGGUUAUUAUGAUAAUUUACUGA
rnacentral:tRNA from 1 species